AACGAACGCUGGCGGCAUGCCUAACACAUGCAAGUCGAACGAGACCUUCGGGUCUAGUGGCGCACGGGUGCGUAACGCGUGGGAACCUGCCCUUAGGUUCGGAAUAACUCCCCGAAAGGGGUGCUAAUACCGGAUAAUGUCUUCGGACCAAAGAUUUAUCGCCUUUGGAUGGGCCCGCGUUGGAUUAGCUAGUUGGUAGGGUAAAAGCCUACCAAGGCGACGAUCCAUAGCUGGUCUGAGAGGAUGAUCAGCCACACUGGGACUGAGACACGGCCCAGACUCCUACGGGAAGCAGCAGUGGUGAAUAUUGGACCAUGGGCGUGAGCCUGAUCCAGCAAUGCCGCGUGAGUGAUGAAGGCCUUAGGGUUGUAAAGCUCUUUUACCCGGGAUGAUAAUGACGGUACCGGGAGAAUAAGCUCCGGCUAACUCCGUG
rnacentral:rRNA from 1 species